UACAGAGGGUGCGAGCGUUAAUCGGAGUUACUGGGCGUAAAGCGCGCGUAGGCGGCUUUGCAAGUCGGGUGUGAAAUCCCCAGGCUUAACCUGGGAACCGCGCUUGAGACUGGCACGCUCGAGUUCGGGAGAGGAUGGUGGAAUUCCCAGUGUAGAGGUGAAAUUCGUAGAUAUUGGGAAGAACACCGAUGGCGAAGGCAGCCAUCUGGACCGACACUGACGCUGAGGCGCGAAAGCGUGGGGAGCAAACAGG
rnacentral:rRNA from 1 species